UACGAAGGGGGGCUAGCGUUGUUCGGAAUUACUGGGGCGUAAAGGGCGCGUAGGCGGCGUGUCAAGGUCAGGCGUAGCGAAAGCCCCGGGACUGCCAACCUGGGAACCGCGCUUGAGACUGGCAUGGCUCGAGGUUCGGGAAGAGGAUGGUGGAAUUCCCAGUGAUUAGAGGUGAAAUUUCGUAAGAAUAUUCCGGAAGAACACCGGAUUGCGAAGGUGCAGCUUGCUGGGCUUAGA
rnacentral:rRNA from 1 species